rnacentral:rRNA from 1 species
UACGUAGGGUGCGAGCGUUGUCCGGAAUUAUUGGGCGUAAAGGGCUCGUAGGCGGUCUGUCGCGUCGGGAGUGAAAACUCAGGGCUUAACCCUGAGCCUGCUUCCGAUACGGGCAGACUAGAGGUAUGCAGGGGAGAACGGAAUUCCUGGUGUAGCGGUGAAAUGCGCAGAUAUCAGGAGGAACACCGGUGGCGAAGGCGGUUCUCUGGGCAUUACCUGACGCUGAGGAGCGAAAGUGUGGGGAUCAAACAGG